UUGAAAGUGUUUUACCGUUGCUCAACAUGGGAAUGUCAAAGACUCCUUCAUUCACAUACCUUCUCUAUGAGGAUUUGCUUUAUUUUAUAGGGUCUAGGUACGUGAUAUAAACUUCAUGUGAAUUUUUUCCAAAGUACCAAAAAACAUUUCCAAGUGAAAUGGAAAAAUAAUAAUCAGCAAAAGAAGAACUAAAAUAUAAUGGAAGCAAAACAAGAAGAAUGAUAUAAUGCAAUUUAAGCCUUUGGGGAUCAAUUAGACUGUUUCAUCAUUCUUCAUACCUCGUUCCUAAUUCCUCAUCUUUUGUCUUUCAUCAGCGUUUCAUUUUUCUCCUACUGAACCUCACUUCAGGUAAGCUUUUGAUUUGUCAUUGAGGAUUUAAAUACAUUUUACGGUUGGUUCUGAUUUUUUUCUUCAAAUGUCAAUUUGGUUUAUGAUAUUGAUCGGGAACAAAGCUGCAUGUGAUAAUUGGUAUGCCUAAAUUAUUCAGCAACAGUUUGUAGUUCGUAAUUUGGAACACAACUGGAAACAAAAUGCUCUAAAGGAGGUCGAUGAAAUUACCGAGUAAGGUUCAUCAAGUAGUGGCAGUGAAGAGAUGAAGAUCAAAGGCCUUGAAAGAUGUUGAAGAUGAAGCUAAUAUUAAAGAGAGGAAGAUAAAAUAGCCAUAUAAGAUAUGUCACCAAGAUAUAAGUUUGAAUAAGAAGCACUUACAGAGAUGUCAUUUGUGUUUUAUUUAACGCUAUUAAUUGUUUGGUAACGGAAGGGAGGUGAGUGCUUUUCAUAAACUAAAGGGGAUAUGUGUGUUGUUGAGCAAAACCUCAAGAGGUGUGAGUGCAAUUUCUCCUUAAGUUUUCAUUGUAUCUUUUAUUUGACACAAACAGCUGUGCUUAUUUACACUAUUUUACUCUUUCAAGUAACAAACUACUUCCAUUUGUACCAACAUAAUGUUUGACUUUUUUUGUCUUUUGGUAUUAGAAAUAUAUGUUUGCAGCUUUAGUAGUUCAAUGUACAUACCAAAUUGUUUAUUGUAUCACCUGACUUAAGGUUUAGGUAUGGGGUAUCUCCAUUUGAGUAUGCACUUGGAGAGUCUGGUGGAAGCCUGCAAUUGGCUAUUGUAAAUGGUCAUAUCAAAUGGCCAGCUGGACCUAAGCCUUCACAUCCAGAAGCUCUUCGUCAGUGUUUGUCAUGGAUGCUUCAGCCCCAAGCUUUUAUGCGGCCUAGGAUAGACGAUAUCAUUAUCCAUGUUGAUAAGUUGAUGGCAAAGUUUACUAAUUGAGGUUUUAGGGAACCGUUGGUCAUGGACUCAUGGUUACAUAUUGCAUUUGGUUUAAGAAUUUGUGUGCGUUUAAUGUCCAGUUAUAUAUCAAUGGAUAAAAAACAAUGGUAGUUCCUUGGCUCAAGUAAACCUCAUGUAUCCUUUUCGUUUUUUGUGUUAGUCUAGGUAGUUAGGUUUAUUGAAGUAUUGUUUAUAGGUGCCUGCUGUGGUGCCUCCCUUCAAAUGAGGGUGUGGUGCCUCUGUCUGCUUGGACCAGUAGGAACCCGCCAUGUAUUAAAUGAGCUUUUUUUUUUCCGGAAUGAUUUUAAAUUAGUGGAAAGUAAUUUUGAAAAAACCGUUUAAAAUAAAAAUAAAGUUAAUUAUAUUGCAAACUGGCCCCUCCCUAAUUCAGUUACCAUGGUUAAAGUAAGUUUUUUUAACCUUUCAGAUUAAUUGACUUGACUGUUCAGUUUCCCUCUCUUUUGAAAACUGAAACAUUCAUAAUUGUUCAUCAUUCUCCAUACUCCUCCCUUCCUCAUUCACUAUACUAAACGUUUCAGAGAAAAAGAGAGAGUUAGCAGAGACGACUAGGGUUCUUUGAGGUCCUGCGGCGGAAAGCACGACGCCGGCGAGAACGACGGUGGUUCUGUGAGAUCGACGACAGGAAGGCGCGGUUUCACCGACCAAGAUUUUGUAGAAAAUUAUCUAUGGCAUCCCAAUCUUUUUGUUCACCACAAAGAAGAAAUAUUUAUGCUGAUGGAAGGUUAUGCAACUGCGGUCUUGUUCCAGUCAUUAGGACAUCAUGGUCCAGUGAUAACUACGGACGAAGAUAUCAUAAGUGUCCU